rnacentral:lncRNA from 1 species
GAAGUAAAUCUUUACUCAUUUAUUUUAUUUUAUUUUUUAUUUUUAGUUUUUAAACUUUUAUUUUAGGUUUGGAGGUACACACGGCUUGUCUCCCUCCUCCUCCCACCCUCCACCCACAACUAGACCCCAAUGUCUGUUGUUCCCUUCUUUGUGUUCAUGAGUUCUCAUAAUUCAGCUAUCACUUGAAAGUGAGGGCAUGUGGUAUUUGGUUUUCUGUUCUUGCAUUAGUUUGCUAAGGAUAAUAGCCUCCAGCUCCAUCCAUGUUACCACGAAAGACAUGAUCUCAUUCUUUUUUAUGCCUGCAUAGUAUUGGAAGCAACCUAAGUGCCCAUCAACAGAUGAGUGGAUAAAUAAAAUGUGGUACACAUAUACAAUGGAGUACUAUUCAGCCAUAAAAAAAGAAUGAGAACCUGUCAUUUGCAACAACAUGGAUGGAACUGGAGAUCAUUAUAUUAAGUGAAAUAAGCCAGACACAAAAAGACAAACAUCGCAUGUUCUCACUUAUUCGUGGGAUCUAAAAAUCAAAACAAUUGAAUUCAUGAACUCUCCUAUCAAGAGAAAGGGCCUUUCAUCAAGUAUUUAAGACCCUAGUAUCUUUACUAGGCUGAAAUUUUAUUGCUCUCCGUCAGAAUUCUUUUAAGAAUUAAAGAACAAAGAGGAGGUACUGUGCUUUCUUUUAAGUCAGAGAAGCACGAAUUGACGUGACCUCGUGUACUGUGAGAAGAGUGUGCAGGGAUGCUUUUAGAAAUUAAAAGGCAACCACAUUGGCCAGUCAGACAACAUGGGGUGGAUGACAAGAGUCUAAGAAAUGCCAGAGGAAAAGCUUUUCCUCUGGCUUCUGGAAAGUCAAGUUAUUGACAAUUUUCAAGUGGAUAAGAAGAAUACUAAGAAGGUGAAAUAUCUGUUCUACAUGCAAGACACAAGGCUUUACAAUACAUUAUCUUCUACUUAACCCCUUCCUUCUCUGUUAACUGCAUUUAUUCUGGCCCAAGUUUUUGACUGCAUUGAUUCUGGCCCAAGUUUUCCAGGCCAUCCCAAUUGCCCUAUCCUUUGAGAUUUAAACAAAAGUGGAUUAAAUGACUCUGUCAUGCAUAUGACAAGCUCUCUCCACCCUUCUUUCACUAUGAUUGCUAGGAAUUCUUAGAGACUUAUGUUAAUAUUUCUCCUGGUCAUCACUUGGUUCAACUUUCUCCUGUCACAGAAUUCUUGUUCUCUGCUGUAUCUUCCCUCUUGCAGCUCUUUUCUUCUCUACCUUACAUAAAC